rnacentral:rRNA from 1 species
GUGGGGAAUAUUGGACAAUGGGCGCAAGCCUGAUCCAGCCAUGCCGCGUGUGUGAAGAAGGUCUUCGGAUUGUAAAGCACUUUAAGUUGGGAGGAAGGGCAGUAAGUUAAUACCUUGCUGUUUUGACGUUACCGACAGAAUAAGCACCGGCUAACUACGUGCCAGCAGCCGCGGUAAUACGUAGGGUGCAAGCGUUAAUCGGAAUUACUGGGCGUAAAGCGCGCGUAGGUGGUUUUGUAAGUUGGAGGUGAAAUCCCCGGGCUCAACCUGGGAACUGCCUCCAAAACUGCAUGACUAGAGUACGGUAGAGGGUAGUGGAAUUUCCUGUGUAGCGGUGAAAUGCGUAGAUAUAGGAAGGAACACCAGUGGCGAAGGCGACUACCUGGACUGAUACUGACACUGAGGUGCGAAAGCGUGGGGAGCAAACAGGAUUAGAUACCCUAGUAGUCC